rnacentral:lncRNA from 1 species
AAAAUGAGAGACAAAUGCUAAAUGAUUAUUUAGGUUCCUAAGAGAUGCUCUAGUCCUAACAGGUUGAGAUGGAUCAUCUAAAAUUAAUUUCUUAGGAUGUCCAUGAGCAUACCUCCAAGCCUUAGUCAGCCCAUGAUCCACAAUUGCCUCUUGGCUUGAUGAUGCAUUUAAAAUUAAUUUUUGUUCAUCUUCUUGUAAUGUCAUCUCAUCAAUCUUUUCUUCAAGAAUUUCAGCAUCAUCAUCAAGAACAACUCUCUUGCUAGAAGAGAUAUCACUAGUAU